rnacentral:rRNA from 1 species
UACGUCACGAGGAGUUAGUACGUACUCGGCGCGACGGACGAACGCUGGCGGCACGCUUAACACAUGCAAGUCGAACGGAGUUUAUUGGAGCUUGCUUUGAUAAACUUAGUGGCGGACGGGUGAGUAACACGUGAGCAAUCUGCCCUUAAGAGGGGGAUAGCAGUUGGAAACGACUGAUAAUACCGCAUAAGAUAGUAGUACCGCAUGGUACAGCUAUAAAAGAUUUAUCGCUUAAGGAUGAGCUCGCGUCUGAUUAGCUAGUUGGUGAGGUAACGGCUCACCAAGGCAACGAUCAGUAGCCGGACUGAGAGGUUGGACGGCCACAUUGGGACUGAGACACGGCCCAGACUCCUACGGGAGGCAGCAGUGGGGAAUAUUGCACAAUGGAGGAAACUCUGAAUGCAGCGAUGCCGCGUGAGGGAAGAAGGUUUUAGGAUUGUAAACCUCUGUUGACAGGGACGAUAAUGACGGUACCUGUUGAGGAAGCUCCGGCUAACUACGUGCCAGCCGCCGC